rnacentral:rRNA from 1 species
GCAGUCGACGGCAGCACGGGAGCAAUCCUGGUGGCGAGUGGCGAACGGGUGAGUAAUAUAUCGGAACGUACCUUUCAGUGGGGGAUAACGUAGCGAAAGUUACGCUAAUACCGCAUAUUCUGUGAGCAGGAAAGCAGGGGAUCGCAAGACCUUGCGCUGAUUGAGCGGCCGAUAUCAGAUUAGCUAGUUGGUGAGGUAAAGGCUCACCAAGGCGACGAUCUGUAGCGGGUCUGAGAGGAUGAUCCGCCACACUGGAACUGAGACACGGUCCAGACUCCUACGGGAGGCAGCAGUGGGGAAUUUUGGACAAUGGGGGCAACCCUGAUCCAGCCAUGCCGCGUGAGUGAAGAAGGCCUUCGGGUUGUAAAGCUCUUUCAGCCGGGAAGAAAACGCAUGGGUUAAUACCCUGUGUGGAUGACGGUACCGGAAUAAGAAGCACCGGCUAACUACGUGCCAGCAGCCGCGGUAAUACGUAGGGUGCGAGCGUUAAUCGGAAUUACUGGGCGUAGAGGGUGCGUAGGUGGUUGUAUAAGUUAGCUGUGAAAUACCUGGGCUCAACCUGGGCAGGUCAGCUAAGACUGUAUGACUCGAGUAUAGGAGAGGGUAGUGGAAUUUCCGGUGUAGCGGUGAAAUGCGUAGAGAUCGGAAGGAACACCAGUGGCGAACGCGGCUACCUGGCCUAAUACUGACACUG